rnacentral:rRNA from 1 species
UAAUACAGAGACCUCAAGCGUUAUCCGGAAUCAUUGGGCGUAAAGCGUGCCGAUAGGUGGUUUUAUUAGUCUUGGGUAAAAGCCAGAAGCUUAACUUCUGAGUUUGCUUAAGAUACUGUAAAACUUGAGGGGCAAAGAGGUGCUUGGAACGAACGGUGUAGUAGUGAAAUGCGUUGAUAUCGUUCGGAACACCGAAAGCGAAGGCAGAGCACUGGGUGCCACCUGACACUGCUAGGACGAAAGCGUGGGGAGCGAAUGGGAUUAGAUACCCCAGUAGUCCACGCUGUAAACGAUGAAUACUAGGCAUGCGCGAGUAUCGACCCUCGUGCGAGCCGUAGCUAACGCGUUAAGUAUUCCGCCUGGGGAGUACGGUCGCAAGACUA